rnacentral:rRNA from 1 species
AGAGAGAGACAUGCGCGCAUAUCAAUAAGCGGAGGAAAAGAAACUAACUAGGAUUCCCCUCAGUAACGGCGAGUGAAGCGGGAAGAGCUCAAAUUUGAAAUCUUCAAGGUUCUACCUUGACGAAUUGUAGUUUAAAGAAGUGUUUUCUGUUGGAGUUUUGGUAAAAGUUCUUCGGAAUAGGACAUCAUAGAGGGUGAGAAUCCCGUAUUUGACCAUUAUUUCCAGCUUUGUGAUACACUUUCAAAGAGUCGGAUUGUUUGGGAAUGCAGUCCAAAAUGGGUGGUAAAUUUCAUCUAAAGCUAAAUAUUGGCGAGAGACCGAUAGCGAACAAGUACCGUGAGGGAAAGAUGAAAAGAACUUUGAAAAGAGAGUUAAACAGUACGUGAAAUUGUCAAAAGGGAAGCGUUUGACACCAGUGUUGUUUUUCUCGAAAAUCAAUUAAAGAAAGCAUGAUUUAUGUAAGUUGUAUUAGACUUUAUCAGCUUCUGCACUCGUUUAGUCUUGAGCUUUUCUUUAAUGCACUUUUCAGUUAACAAGUCAACAUCAAUUUCUUUUGUUGUAAAAAGGUCAUUGAGGAAGGUGGCUUGAGCUUUCCGGAUAAGUGUUUAUAGCCUCUUGCCUCUGCAGUCGGAGAGAUUGAGGUCUGCAGCGUAGAUCCUUCGGGGUUAAAUAGCAUUUGUGCUAAGUUAUAGCCUUUCAUAGACAACUUGUUGACUAUGAUCAGUCAUGUAGCUUACUCGCUUAUGCUAUUUUACCUACGCUUAGGAUGUUGAUGUGAUACUGCGAGC